CCUACGGGAGGCAGCAGUGGGGAAUUUUCCGCAAUGGGCGAAAGCCUGACGGAGCAACGCCGCGUGAUCGAAUGAAGGCCUUCGGGUUGUAAAGAUCUGUUGACAGGGACGAAUAAGCAAUGAGAAUAUUUUUGUGUAUGAAGGUAACUGUUUAGAAAGCUCCGGCUAACUACGUGCCAGCAGCCGCGGUAAUCCCUAGGGAGCAAGCGUUGUCCGGAAUUACUGGGCGUAAAGGGCGCGUAGGUGGGCCCUUAAGUAAGGUGUGAAAACUCCGGGCUCAACCUGGAGACUGCACUUGAAACUGGGUGUCUUGAGGGCAGAAGAGGAGAGUGGAAUUCCUGGGGUAGCGGUGGAAUGCGUAGAGAUUAGGAGGAACACCAGUGGCGAAGGCGACUUUCUGGACUGUACCUGACGCUGAGGCGCGAAAGCGUGGGUAGCGAACGGGAUUAGAUACCCCUGUAGUC
rnacentral:rRNA from 1 species